GUUCUAUUGAUUUUCUCAUUUUCUUUUAAUAGAUCUUUUUCAUCUGUGGAGUUUCAUGGCUGUAUUCAAUGUGUUCUGUGAUGUUCUCUUGGGGAAUGAGAAGAAAAUCCGGUGACACCCAGAAAAGGGACUGGACAAAGGAGAGAAACAUGAACUCUGGAAAAGACCUUGGCAGCUGUCAAUCACAACCUUCUAAUUUUACAAACAGGGCAAGAAGGCAAGCGAAGAAAACCUGCCAGUUACCAUGCAGCAGAUCCAGACUAGAGCCCAUGCCUUCAUCCGCUUCCCUCCACACGCAGGCUGGGGCUUUCCACUCCUCAACACCGUGUGGCAACUGGGGGCCCAGAUGACUCAUGCAUCAAAUAAAGGUGUUGAACUUAA